UACAGGGGGGCAAGCGUUGUUCGGAAUUACUGGGCGUAAAGGGCGCGUAGGCGGUCGUGACAAGUCACUUGUGAAAUCUCCGGGCUUAACUCGGAACGGUCAAGUGAUACUGUCGGACUAGAGUACAGAAGGGGCAACUGGAAUUCUCGGUGUAGCGGUGAAAUGCGUAGAUAUCGAGAGGAACACCUGCGGCGAAGGCGGGUUGCUGGGCUGAUACUGACGCUGAGGUGCGAAAGCGUGGGGAGCAAACAGG
rnacentral:rRNA from 1 species